AAUCAACGCUGGCGGCGUGCCUCAGACAUGCAAGUCGAACGAUUAAAGCUCUCUUCGGAGAGUGCAUAGAGUGGCGCACGGGUGAGUAACACGUAAGUAAUCUACCCUCGAGUGGGGAAUAACGUCCGGAAACGGACGCUAAUACCGCAUAAUGCAGCGGCACCGCAAGGAGACAAUUGCUAAAGAUUUAUCGCUUGAGGAGGAGCUUGCGGCAGAUUAGCUAGUUGGUAAGGUAAUGGCUUACCAAGGCUACGAUCUGUAACCGGUCUAAGAGGACGGUCGGUCACACUGACACUGAAUAACGGGUCAGACUCCUACGGGAGGCAGCAGUCGGGAAUUUUGGGCAAUGGGCGAAAGCCUGACCCAGCAACGCCGCGUGAAGGAUGAAGUAUUUCGGUAUGUAAACUUCGAAAGAAUAGGAAGAAUUAAUGACGGUACUAUUUAUAAGGUCCGGCUAACUACGUGCCAGCCGCCGCCGUAAUAC
rnacentral:rRNA from 1 species